GAUGAAGGCCGUCAUCCUUAUUGGGCUGUGGUUGUUGUUGUGUCGACGUUCAAGAUGAGAACAUCUAUCUUCAAAUGAAUGUUGACUUAUAUAACAAGAUGAAUAUAUCCACGGGAAAGAACGAACAAAUUUAAAAGCAUGUGAACAACAAAAACAUCCAAAGCUACAAAGACAUGAUUCUAAAACAGAGAAUACAGAUACUUGCAGCACAUUAAGACUGGAGUUUGACACCUUUGACAGACGAGAGAUGUUAAUGAAUAACUAAGGCAGAAAAUCGAAGCAAAAUAUACUUGAAAGCUGGAAUUCAAGGAAAAAUACACUAUGAUCUUCAAAAUCAAGUACCGAUAGACUUAAACGCGAAUGAUGAGAAGAAUAUUACAACUUUGAAAAAAAACCUUGACAA